AACGAACGCUGGCGGCAUGCCUAACACAUGCAAGUCGAACGAGACCUUCGGGUCUAGUGGCGCACGUGUGCGUAACGCGUGGUAACCUGCCCUUAGGUUCGGAAUAACUCCCCGAAAGGGAUGCUAAUACCGGAUAAUGUCUUCGGACCAAGGAUUUAUCGCGUUUGGAUGGGCCCGCGUUGGAUUAGCUAGUUGGUAGUGUAAAAGCAUACCAAGGCGACGAUGCAUAGCUGGUCGGAGAGGAUGAUCAGCCACACUGGGACUGAGACACGGCCCAGAAUCCUACGGGAGGGAGCAGUGGGGAAUAUUGGACAAUGAGCGAAAGCCUGAUCCAGCAAUGCCGCGUGAGUGAGGAAGGCCUUAGGGUUGUAAAGCUCUUUUACCCGGGAUGAUAAUGACAGUACCGGGAGAAUAAGCUCCGGCUAACUACGUG
rnacentral:rRNA from 1 species